CAAUGUCGUGGGCAUAUGUCCUGGUCACCCUUGGGCUGUCUCGGGACCACGUUGGGCUACUCCUGGGCCAUGCUAAAGGAGUCGUGGCACGUAUUGGCGCAAUUUUGCGGGUGAUUUUUGGGGUCAAAGCUUCACAUGUGACAUCAGGCUUACUUCUUUUCAUUUCUUUCUUUUUUCUUCUUCUUUCUUUUUCCCGUUUUAAAUUUUAUCUCUAAACCAAACUCCAACUAACUCUAAUUUAUGUUUAGGAACUUGUAAUUUUGGAGUACAAUAUAAGUAUAAUUGUUUGUGUUAUAUUGUUUUUAUUAUUAUUAUUACUAUUAAAAAUAGCCAAAUUAAUUAAAAUAUUUAUAAGGUAUUUUAAAAUUUGAUAUUCGAUAGAUCGAUCAAUGUCACUAAACAUAUAAGGGCUUAUCAAUAUCUAUUAUUAAUAUAAUCUAGUAAAUAUUUUGUCGAAUUUAUUAUUUGUGACAGUUUUUUUCUAUUCUUUUUUACAUAUAUUCAAUAUAUAAAAUAUCAAUUUUUUGAAAAUUUCAUAUAGGAUUAUUAACAAGUUUAACAAAUAGAUAAAAUGAUUUUCAACAUUAUUCUAAUACUAUGCUUUAAAUUAUGUAAGAGAUAAAUCUCUAUAAAUCAUGUGAUGAAUUAUUUUAGAAUGGAAAACAAUACAAAAAUGUGAGUGUUGAGCAAGAAAUUUUGACCAAUUAAAUUACGUCACAUCAUCACAGUAAAUAAUGAUGAUUAUACUUUUGUUUGAGUUUGGAUAAUUAAGUUACUCAACCCAACCCAAUUCAGAUCCAACAAAACAAAUGGGCUCAAGCCCAAGUCCAAGAAUCAAAUGGGCCCAAGUCCAAACUCAUCUCGCAAAUGGGCUCAAAUCCAAGCCCAACAAGCAAAUGGGCUCAAGUUCAAGCCCAGUAAGCAAAUGACCCCAAGUUCACCUAAAGCCCAUGAAAUGUCUAUAAAUAGAGACCACUAUCAUUCAUUUUAAAAGGGGUCUUUGGUUGAAAGAAGAAUUGAAGCUCUGAAGAAUUGAAGAUUCAAACUUCUACAAGCUCUCAAGACGUGCAAGUUCGUAUCAACUUCGAGAUCAACAACUUCUGAAAGAUUGAAGACUUGGAAGAUUAAACUUUUCUUGGAUUCCAGAAGAUCGAAGUUCAAAUCAACGUGCAACUACAACAUCCUGAAGAUCGAAGAUCAAAAAGUUCUAAGUUUUAACUUGUAUUCGAGAAAAAACAUCAAAAGAGUAAAUACUAGAGGUUGUAUUCACAAUAUUCUUUAAUAUAUCAAGUUCAACUCCACGAAAUACAUUUCUUCAAAAUCUCGUGUGAACAGUUUGACACGUCCAGUGAGACAAUCUCUACCUUUCAUCUCUUUCUCUUUUGAAGAACAUCUAAAGAAAUCAUGUCGAUUGACG
rnacentral:lncRNA from 1 species